UACGUAGGGACCGAGCGUUGUCCGGAAUCAUUGGGCGUAAAGAGCGCGUAGGCGGCCACUUAAGUCCUGCGUGAAAUCCUGCGGCUCAACCGCAGGCGGUCGUGGGAAACUGGGUGGCUAGAGUGCGGGAGAGGAGAGUGGAAUUCCUGGUGUAGCGGUGGAAUGCGCAGAUAUCAGGAAGAACACCCGUGGCGAAGGCGGCUCUCUGGAACGCAACUGACGCUGAGACGCGAAAGCGUGGGGAGCAAACAGG
rnacentral:rRNA from 1 species